AAUGCCGCAUCUGUAAUGACCAAAGCACCGACAAAUCAAUUUGUUAAUAAUUCACCCUUAUAAUUAAUUAAAUAUAAUUAUUAUAUCUAUAAUAAAAGUACCAUCAGAUGGUAUAUGGCUGAUGCUGUGAGGUGCCUAUACUUGUGGAGUGCACAAAUGGUUGCUAUAAAUAAACACAAAACGAAGUGGAGGGUGUAGGAACGAGAGAAUGAAGCUCUAGAGAGAAAAAACUUGAAACAAAGCUGAGAGAGGAAAUAAGAAAAAAUAAUAAUAAAACGAAGAAAAGAAGAAAAACAACAACUGUAAGAAUGGAAAAAAUAGGUAUUUCACAUGUCACUCAAGGUCCAGUGUAUCGAAACCUAAUUUAAUUUACAGGUUCAAGUGGAUGAUGGUGACCGAAAAGCGGUGUGUUACUCUCUCAAUGACCCCCACCUGAGAACAUUUGACGGAACUUUUUACGACAACCAAAUCAGCGGUGAAUACGUGCUGUUUCGCCACCAAGAGCUGCCCUACGAGGUGCGAGGGUUCUACCAGCCUUGUGGCCAGGUUCCACGAUGCAACUGUGGCGCCGCGGUGCGUGUGGACGCCAGCGUCAUUCGGCUGACGGCCUGCGUGCCAGGGGAGGGUAUUCACGUCCAGGUGUUUGGAGUCGGGGAGCUGCAGGCGGGCACUGCGGUCCGACGAUACGACGGCGGCGACAGAUACGAGGUUACGUUGCCAACAGGAUCCCGACUUCUCGUCAGAAUGGGAGCAAAGAACUUUAUCAACUUGUGGUUUUACCCUUCACCGCUAGACGAGCAGAAGACAGAAGGUCUCUGUGGCACCUAUGACAACAACUCCACCAACGAUUUCAAGCUUUCUUCAGGCUCUACUGUCACUGUUGAGAAUCUUGCAGCAUUUUUGGAAGACUGGAGAGUCAACGCAUCGGACAGCCUCUACAACGGCCUGUGUCCAUCAAAGACGAGAUCAACCGAGAAACUCAAUGUCCAAUCGUUUUCUCAAUGCCAGUCACGUGAUGCUGCAGGGCAGUUCAGGGGUACGAGUAGUCUUCAAUGCAACCUUCUUCAAAACUACGAUACAGAAUAUCUGAUCACAGACGUCUUAACAAAGCUGUCCGUGCCGCCAGAAAACUGUCUGACUAGUCUGCCUGCUAUUAACCCUUUCGAAUACAACAUCACAUCGUCAUCUCCGAUUAACAUCACUUGGCCUAAAGGAUGGAAUGAAACUACUGCCCGCCAGUUUUGUGAAGAGACCUUAAGAUCAUCCUAUGUCACACGAGUUUGUGGGGGCGUCGUCAACUGGCUGGACCUUGACCCAGUCAGAAUAAGCGAUUGUGCAUCAGAUAUCAAGCUGACUGGUGAAGGAGCUUGGGCUGGUGUUCUGGAGGCGGUCUUGGAGGAAGAUUGUCGUUACCAGGUGCAGUGGAACCAAACGCUCCGGACGACCAGCGAAUCACAAGCGACUGUUCUGUCUGCCCUCUGCCCCAGCAACUGCUCUGGCAAUGGAGUGUGCGACAAAGGUGUAUGCCGCUGCAAUCAAGGUUUCAUUGGUGCGAAAUGCUCGGAGAAAGCAACAGUGGCCCCAACACUGAGCAGACUUGAAAACAAAGGCAUCUGCAACUCCCUGACCAGCGACUGUUCUUCUGUUGAAGUCUUUGGACUUACCUUUGUAGCAAGUGAAGCGCUUUCAUGCUUCAUCAAACCAUUGUCGGUUGGUCCCACUGGCUAUAAUGUGACAUCAAACUGGACCACAGCUAAGGCCACCUUCAUCAGUGAUACUCACGUGCUGUGCUCCUUGCCUGCAGUGAGCAAGCAGCCGGGGGGCUACCUGAUUAGCGUUGCCAACACUGCCGGCUACUUGAGCGAACCCCUCCUGAUGCUCGUCUUCAAUCCCUUCUGCUUUACAUGCAACACUGUGUAUGGCAACUGCUCGCAAAAGUUAAACACCUGCGUGAUAGACAACACCUGCUACCUCAACAACACCAUCAACCCAAGCAACCAUACCCAGAUGUGCCUCUCCGGUGUCAGCCCCAUCUCAUGGACCUUUAGUGCUUCACCUUGCACGAAAGGUGUAGUGUGGACAGAGGUCGUAGGUCAGGGAUUCGCUCUACACAACCAUCUCAGGCUGAGUAACAUUACAACGCUGGACGCCUGCAAGACCCAAUGUCUAGCACAGCCGGACUUCCUGUGCCGGUCAAUAGACUACGACAGCGACAACCACCUGUGCAUGUUGUCCAAGUAUCGACUCAGCGACGCCACAGAAUAUGCGCUCAAAUUUGAGGCCAAGAUCUCGCACUUCGACUGGUCCUGUACUGAUGAUCGGUUGCAACAACUCGUACGUGACAUGGGAUAGGUUUGCGAACUCCGCAACUGUUGAGAACAAUCUCCAGAUUUUCCAGGAUACCUGGAUGGAAGAAGAAUGUCGUCUCCUAUGCUUAGCAAACCAAGCGUGCACGGCAAUCAAGCACAGCCCUCGCCAAGGAGUGUGCAUUCUGACGUCAUCAACUAACGGGACCUUGCAGAGCACACCGCGGUGGAACUUCGCUCAGUUCUCUUGUAAACCAAAGCCAAUCAGCGACAGGUCAAAGCUCGCCGUAACUGAGGCAAGCGUCUGGUCGGACUUCCAGGGGCCGGGCAAAGACAGCUUCCGGUGCGCCUUCAGCAAGCUGUCCUCAAGUGACCUCCGAUAUGACGUACUCUGGAAUGUUGAUGGCUUGUGGAUCUACGAAGACGUCACGGAAAGCAGCCAGUCCAGUGACGUUCUUCCUGCCAGCCGAGCCACGCUGCGAGAAGGAUCCAAGCUUGCAUGCGCUGUGAGUGUUUGCAAUAACGCCACUUGCGAGGACACAAGGGGACCCUUGACCAUCUCGGACACCUAUACUGCGCAAGUCAAGAUUGAUGGAGCUACAAACAUGACACUGAGAGAAGGGGACGAGGGACAGAUAAUCACCCUUCAGGCCACAGCACCGCCGUACGUCUUGUGCAGAGGAAAAGUGAACGCAUCAGACGAAUGCUCAAUAAAAUUUCAAGUUAUCGUCAGCGAGGUCGACAAACGAGUUGUCUGUCCUUCGGGAGGCAGCUUACCCAGGUGGUGGUGCAGGUCACGAAGGGCCAGGAGCAAGUAACCAUGUGUGACGUGACGCUGAGCAACAAGGCGUGGCAGGAGGCUUUUACCAUGCUGGUCAAGGCCACUAUAGACCACUUGUACGACGGCGACCACGUGACCAGCCUGACCAUCAUACGUCAGAACAGCGCGCGAAACGAAACAAAGCAGGACACACUGAUUUCAAGCAAGAUCUGGGUACUGGAUGGUGAUACUUCAGCACUUUGUACAUCUAUCAACGACCCCACACAUAACAACAUUCGACGGACGAUACUAUAAUAACUACAUGGAAGGUUCCUUUGUCCUCUACCGCAACCGGCACUUUGACCAAGAGGUUCAAGUGUACUACCGCCGAUGUGGAAGCGCCGCUUCUUGCAAUUGCGCAGUGGCCGCCAGGGCCGGAAAUGACGUCGUGGUUAUAGACAAGUGUGGGCCGUUCACUAAACAAAGUCUCGCCUUUUACCCGCUUACCGUGCGUCUCUUCCGAAACGGGCUGCUCACACCUGGUCUUCAGGUGUUCAGUCGCUACGAGGGACGAGAAUUCACGAUUUCCCUUGGCACGGGCACCAAGGUCUUUGUUAGACGCAGUGUAAUCAAGGGUUACAACUACCUCAAUGUCUGGGUGAAACCAUCAGGAGCAGACUUCAACAGGACAGAAGG